CAUGCAGUCGAGCGGACUUUAAAAGCUUGCUUUUAAAGUUAGCGGCGGACGGGUGAGUAACACGUGGGCAACCUGCCUGUAAGACUGGGAUAACUUCGGGAAACCGGAGCUAAUACCGGAUAAUUCUUUCUCACCUCAUCAUGGAUGAAAAGCUGAAAGACGGCAUCUCGCUGUCACUUACAGAUGGGCCCGCGGCGCAUUAGCUAGUUGGUGAGGUAACGGCUCACCAAGGCAACGAUGCGUAGCCGACCUGAGAGGGUGAUCGGCCACACUGGGACUGAGACACGGCCCAAACUCCUACGGGAGGCAGCAGUAGGGAAUCUUCCGCAAUGGACGAAAGUCUGACGGAGCAACGCCGCGUGAGUGAUGAAGGUUUUCGGAUCGUAAAGCUCUGUUGUUAGGGAAGAACAAGUACAAGAGUAACUGCUUGUACCUUGACGGUACCUAACCAGAAAGCCACGGCUAACUACGUGCCAGCAGCCGCGGUAAUACGUAGGUGGCAAGCGUUGUCCGGAAUUAUUGGGCGUAAAGCGCGCGCAGGCGGUCCUUUAAGUCUGAUGUGAAAGCCCACGGCUCAACCGUGGAGGGUCAUUGGAAACUGGGGGACUUGAGUGCA
rnacentral:rRNA from 1 species